ensembl:lncRNA
CUCAUCUCCAUGGCAAAUGGGUCUUGUAAAUGCAGGGAAUGUUCCCACAGCCUCUGGAGGAAAAUCCACAGAGCUCUGGGCAGGAGCAGGGCCCAGGGAGAAGAGCACUAGUGGAAAGGAAGCUACACACAUCGCCUAAUUUCACCUGAGGGUAGAAGAAGGUGGCGAAUCCUGGGGCAGCGGCUGUUCUGAGAGUCGGGAGACUACACACACCCCUGGGGAGAUCUGCUCCUAAAAGAAGUGGUGCUCUAGGAGGCGAUUACUGCUAUCAUCCUAAUUUUACAGAGGAAGUGGAGGCUUAACGAGGUCCCACAGCAGCCAGCCAGGGCUCAAACCCAGGCAGCUGGCUCCAGGGCCCACGCACCUACCUCUGCAACCCACUGCCUCCCCUAGAAUGUUCUGCUGCCUUGUAUGUGACAGAGUGGAAUUGCAGCAGGGCACAUGAAUCCGAAGAGUCAUUUUAGCAAAGCCAGAGAUAGAACUGUUGCCAAGGGCAGACGAUGGAUCAGCCAGCCUCGCAGACUUGGAGGGAGUGGUGAAAGAUGAACGGGCUCAGCCACAAGGGGAGAAGAACGUCACCCAGCCCCUAGAAUAGCAACAGCAAUAAAUAUGGUCAUGUCGCUCUUCUGCUGAGGCCAAAACGACAGACGGGAUCACAUUUGCGGCACCCAGCGCCUGCUGGCUCUGUGGAGCUGGCUCAGGGCUUUGGAGGAAACAUGCGCAGAAGCUGAUGCUGACCAAGCGGCUUGAUUUUGGAGCUGUGACUUAGCGUACAAAGAAGAGGGGAGCCCACCGCAGAGCUAGGGGGCUCAGCACCCUUCUGGUCACAGGGAGGUUUGUUCUAAAUCGGCUUUCCGGACAGCUGGC